rnacentral:lncRNA from 1 species
CGAAAUAAAUUAACAAACAAAGCCCAUGAUUAACAAAAAAAAUUAACAAAAUUAGAAUAGAGCCUAAAUUAAUCUUCUUUUUCUUUAACCCAAAAUCAAUGAAAAAAUCUAUUAAACAAAAAUAGAGCCAAAAAGUUAACAAAGCCCAUGAUUACAAACAAAUAAAUAAAUAAAAUAUUAUAAUUAUAAAAGGUAAGAGGGUAGCCCUAAUUUCUUCAUCUUCAACUUGCGCCUCCCAUGUCUUCUUUUUCAUCUCUGUUUUUUUUUUCCACUUCUGCAUAAAUAUUCUUCUUCCUUCCAUCAACACAUCAAAAAUUCAAACAAAUAAAAUCCCUAAUAUCAUUCCCUUCAUCAGCAUCGCUUCUUCCCCUAAUAUUACAGAGCCACUUAUUUUUUUCUCAUUUCUUCUUCCUUAAGUUCGUUCGCCCUCACUCCCAAAUCCACCGUUGCGGCUCAAUUCGGUACUUAUAGACGCGACUCAACAUAGCAAGUUGAAAGGCAGAGAAAUAAAAUCAAAGCUUCAACUUCUACUUCUCUUUUAUCAGUGAAAGCCAAGUUCUUGAAAUUGUUCGAGGUCUUUUUAGAAAGAAAGAAAAAAAUUGCUGCUUCUUCUUUCUCAUCUUUUUCUUCUCUAGUUGUCGUCGUGGUUUUGGGUUUUGGGUGGUGUUGGUGGUUGCAGUAGCACUGACAAUGGUGAUAAUGAAAGAAUUUUGUUGGUAAAUUCAAAUGCUCCGAUGAGUAGAGCAACCAUGAUUAUUGUUUGAGUGCAAAUUUCAUCUUAUUUAUAGAGCUCAAAAUGUGGAGGCUAAGUAUACUUGUUCUCCAAGAACAUAUUGAAAGGA